UUGCUCGACAUGAAAUGUAUAGAUCAAAACCCCAAGGAGUUUGACAUUUAGAUUUUUAAUAGAUUUCUUUUCUCCUUCUUAAAACACCCACAGGCUGAGACUGAAGUGGAAAUGUGUUUGCUUUUAAUUGCAGAGUGUGUUCCAUGGGCUCAGAAGCAGUGAAUCCUCCCUCUUCUCAGAAGCAGAGCGCUUCUAUCAAACAGAGCUGAAAAUGUGAAGAACAAAAGGUCUGAAAUGUCACACGAUAAGAAAAAUUAUUUUUAAACUCUCAGUAACAGGAAAUGGAAGGAACUGUAUUCAUAGAGAAAGAAAAUGUAGAGGACAGACAAGGUCCAUGAGGGAUUUGAUCAAGACUGAUGACUGGGGUUUUAAUCCAAGCAUGCAUCCAUGGGCUAUGAUUGUGCUGAAUCUAGAUGAGCUUCAGUGACAUCAGAGGGAACUGUCCACUCCUCUCCACCUCCAUCACAAAAGCUAAUAUUAUUAACAUCAACCA
rnacentral:lncRNA from 1 species